rnacentral:rRNA from 1 species
AACGUAGGAGGCGAGCGUUAUCCGGAUUUACUGGGCGUAAAGCGCGUGCAGGCGGUUCGGCGAGUUGGAUGUGAAAGCUCCUGGCUUAACUGGGAGAGGUCGUUCAAUACUGCCGGACUCGAGAGUGGUAGAGGGAGGUGGAAUUCCGCAUGUAGUGGUGAAAUGCGUAGAUAUGCGGAGGAACACCAGUGGCGAAAGCGGCCUCCUGGCCCAUUUCUGACGCUCAGACGCGAAAGCUAGGGUAGCAAACGGGAUUAGAGACCCCGGUAGUCCUAGCUGUAAACGAUGUGAACUUGGCGUCGGCGGCUUCAAAACCGUCGGUGCCGUAGCCAACGCGAUAAGUUCACCGCCUGGGGACUACGGCCGCAAGGUUAAA